rnacentral:rRNA from 1 species
GAUGAACGCUGGCGGCGUGCUUAGCACAUGCAAGUCGAACGGUGAAGGCGGAGCUUGCUCUGCUGGAUCAGUGGCGAACGGGUGAGUAACACGUGAGCAAUCUGCCCCUGACUCUGGGAUAAGCGCUGGAAACGGCGUCUAAUACUGGAUACGAGCUGCGAAGGCAUCUUCAGCAGCUGGAAAGAAUUUCGGUCAGGGAUGAGCUCGCGGCCUAUCAGCUUGUUGGUGAGGUAAUGGCUCACCAAGGCGUCGACGGGUAGCCGGCCUGAGAGGGUGACCGGCCACAAUGGGACUGAGACACGGCCCAGACUCCUACGGGAGGCAGCAGUGGGGAAUAUUGCACAAUGGGCGAAAGCCUGAUGCAGCAACGCCGCGUGAGGGACGACGGCCUUCGGGUUGUAAACCUCUUUUAGCAGGGAAGAAGCGAAAGUGACGGUACCUGCAGAAAAAGCGCCGGCUAACUACGUG